GGUAUUCGCAUAAUUUGACUAUUAAAUGAUAGUUCGUUUGACAGUAAAAUUUAGAGCGUUCUAUAGCAGUCUAGUUAUCUAUGCUCAAUUGGGCUCAUCUCAUCUGCCUAAUUAGGGCUCCAGCGCAAGGCCUGGUCUUGAACGAGGGCCUGGUCUACUGACCGACCUCCAACGACUCGGCCCGGGAUCUUGGGUUAAGUUUAUUUCAUCUUCUUCAAUCAUAUGGCCGCCUCACCAUCUCUGCCUCCUCCAUCCUUAACUCCAAUCGAUCUCGAUCUAGCGGUCACCGCUGGGUCCUCCAUCCUUACCUUCAAUCGACGACCUUCUCCAACGAUGACGAGGUUGGCGACGACACCACUCCUUCUGGCCGCCGCGGUUACUUCGUAGUGGUCUGAUCCCUGCAAAAUGAAAGGUAGAACCUCGGCCUCCUUCUCCUCUCGCUUACGAUCCGUAUCUUUUCUUAAACUCUACUAGAAUUUAGAUUUCAUCUCUUAUCCUUCUAAUUGCAGUAGCGGAAGCUCGAGGGAGCGAACUAAGGGGGUGGCCCAGCAUUCGAUUGAGAUAAGGUCUGGCUUAUGUUUUUUUUACUAGCUCGAUUUCUUCUCCCCUAAGUGUAGUUAUCACAGAAUCGUUUGUUUUGAACUUUCUUCUAUUCGUGUGUUCGAGCCAGGGGAUGCUGCAAUGAAUAAGGGAGCAGAGGCGAGGCUAGCCCCGAUCUAGUGGUCGACGGACUCGACAGGAGAAGUGGAUUCAAUAUUCGGGCAAACUACAUGACUAGACCCUUUGUUUGCCCUAUAAUUUCUGAGCAACUAACCUGAUAUUGACCCUUAUCAUUACCAAAGAAUGACUAGUUUAUUGUUACUUACCAUGGGGACAAAUAGAUUUCAGUUUUCUUUCAACACAUUCAUCUUAACGCCUUUAUCAAUUAAGGAAUCAAUUGCAAAUCAAAGGUCAUUUUAAAGUCACCCUUUACAUUACACAUUCAAAAUUACCAUAAAAUGGAUUUUCUUUGGGAGAUGACCGGUUGAUGAUCGUGGCAUGAGUAUAGUGUAGUGAUUUUGUAUUAGAUCGUGGCCGAUUUUCAUUGUGAUCUUUUUGAGAAAAAUGGUGGCUGACUUCUGAUGAUUUUGAUUGGAUUUCGAUGAAGAUUUUGGGACACUGUUGAUAACUGGUUUUUUGUAAUGACUGGGUUGAGUUAUUGUGGUGAUUUCGGUAGGGAUGAUGUCUGUUUUUUUUUGUAUACAAUGGUAGCUGGGUUGAGUACUCUGUAUAUGGAUAGGGAUGGCUUGAUAUGAUGUCUAGUGUCGAAGGCAUGCUAGAUUUUUAACUAAAGAUGCCUCUCGGGGCUUAAACAUUUAGCGUAGUUGACCUAACUAGAAUCAUAAUUCACAGUCACGACACAAUGGAAGUCUUUAAUAGACCAUUCACUCGUCAAACUCAUCAUAGAAAGUGUUUACUUUGGGUUUUGGUAACUCUUUAUACUGUCUCUUUAGCUUGUUUCUACUUAUCUGAACUCAUCAUUAAGUGCAUUUUGUAUUCUAGUCAUCUUAGCUAAUCAUGUCAUGCUUGGCAUAUUUUAAAGUACUAUAGUAUCUAAGUUCGAUAACUAACCUUUAAUCCAAAGCAUGCUUAGAGUGAUGAUGACCGUAAGUAAGAUAUGUGAAAUAUGUAUAUUAGCGAUUCUAAUUUCGUAUACCUUUCACCUUUGGGAUGUACUUUAUGUUUUGAUUGUUGCUAAGGCCAUGAUUUCCUUCUUCUUUGCAAGGUAGCUCCGAUGUAGCUUGAUCUGAAGGCUAGAGGAAGAUGUGCAUAUAGGUAUGGGAAGUCGACGAUGUGGAGAUGAUUUCAGUGGUAUUGAGAGCUCGGGAAUGGUACAAAGAGUAUGAUGUGAGGAUAAUUGUGACUUGGGUGUGUUGUGAGUGAUUGAUAUAGGAUUUGAAUAAGUCUGGCAAUUCAGAAUCGGUUAUUUGGUUUGACCGAAUUCGAAAUUAAAUUCAGCAUAACCAAAAACCGAAUUCUUAAUUAAUUCGAAUUCGAAAACAAAAUCGAUUGUGAGAUUUGCCACGAACUUGAAUUCGUUAAUUCGAACAAUUAACCAAAUUCGAAACAAAACCGGAUUCAAUUAAUUAAUGGAGUAAUAAUUUGACUCUCUCCCAACUUCUCCUCCUAAUUCUCUUUAGCUUCUUCUUCUUCAAUCCAAUUCCCAAACAAAUCUUUUCAUCUCAAGCUCCCUUUCUUCCUCUUCAUGUCAAGUUUCCCAAGAUGUAAAACCUUAAAAAUUAAACUUUCUCCUUCAACUUUGACCUUCG
rnacentral:lncRNA from 1 species